UGGGGAAUUUUGGACAAUGGGCGAAAGCCUGAUCCAGCAAUGCCGCGUGUGUGAAGAAGGCCUUCGGGUUGUAAAGCACUUUUGUCCGGAAAGAAAUCCUUGGCUCUAAUACAGUCGGGGGAUGACGGUACCCGGAAGAAUAAGCACCGGCUAACUACGUGCCAGCAGCCGCGGUAAUACGUAGGGUGCAAGCGUUAAUCGGAAUUACUGGGCGUAAAGCGUGCGCAGGCGGUUUGCUAAGACCGAUGUGAAAUCCCCGGGCUCAACCUGGGAACUGCAUUGGCUGACUGGCAGGCUAGAGUAUGGCAGAGGGGGGUAGAAUUCCACGUGUAGCAGUGAAAUGCGUAGAGAUGUGGAGGAAUACCGAUGGCGAAGGCAGCCCCUGGGCCAAUACUGACGCUCAUGCACGAAAGCGUGGGGAGCAAACAGGAUUAGAUACCCUGGUAGUCCAGCGCCCUAAACGAUGUCAACUAGUUGUUGGGGAUUCAUUCUUAGUAACGUAGCUAACGCGUGAAGUUGACCGCCUGGGGAGUACGGU
rnacentral:rRNA from 1 species